rnacentral:rRNA from 1 species
UAGCUGGAUGAGUAGUGUAGCGGUGAAAUGCAUAGAUAUUACUCAGAACACCGAUUGCGAAGGCAGGUUACCAAGUUAUAACUGACGCUGAGGGACGAAAGCGUGGGGAGCGAACAGGAUUAGAUACCCUGGUAGUCCACGCCGUAAACGAUGCUAACUCGUUUUUGGGCUAUAUGGUUCAGAGACUAAGCGAAAGUGAUAAGUUAGCCACCUGGGGAGUACGACCGCAAGGUUGAAACUCAAAGGAAUUGACGGGGGCCCGCACAAGCGGUGGAUCAUGUGGUUUAAUUCGAUGAUACGCGAGGAACCUUACCAAGGCUUAAAUGGGAAUUGAUAGCUGUAGAAAUACGGUUUU